ensembl:lncRNA
UGAACUCUUCCGGAACAACACCAUCACUCUUGACCUAGGCGGCUGCCUAGUGCGGGACUCCACCUCGGUGUUCACGUCAGCUGUGGUGACAGUUUCCAAGCGGUCACUCUCCUGGCCUGGGACGGUGGCAAGGGGUUGGCAGAGAUUCUGCCGCACGAGCUUGUCUGUUCUCCGUGGGACAGGUUUUAUCUAUUAUUCACCAAACCAAAUGGUGACUGAGCACCUCGGAGGGGCCCUUUGGCCGGAGACAGAGCAAUGAAGCAAACAGAUGUAAAUCCUUGAGACCUGCAUGUCAUCAAGGGAAGGGAAAAUGAACGAAAGCAGACCAGAAACAAACAGAUAAGGGCGUGGCCACCUGCAGAUGUCACUGCCUCUGGCUCUUCACUGGGCUCUUCACCAACACCAACCAGAGUUUCAGACCACAGAGCUAGACUCUCUCUCCAGUAGAAGGAAAGAAAUGAGAAUCACGUUUCUCAUUUACUCUGUGCCAGAUACUGAAUAAGGUACGUACAUCUACAGACCUAACCUUUAUUCCUCACAACAUUCUGGAGAAUGGAUGUGAUCGUUCCCAUGUGCCCUGAUGAGUGUAUUAUGGCCAGGAGCGGUGACAUCGUUUGCACACUGAUACACAGCC